rnacentral:rRNA from 1 species
GGAAUCUUCCACAAUGGGCGCAAGCCUGAUGGAGCAACACCGCGUGAGUGAAGAAGGGUUUCGGCUCGUAAAGCUCUGUUGUUAAAGAAGAACAUAUCUGAGAGUAACUGUUCAGGUAUUGACGGUAUUUAACCAGAAAGCCACGGCUAACUACGUGCCAG